GAUGAACGCUGGCGGCGUGCCUAAUACAUGCAAGUCGAGCGAACGGACGAGAAGCUUGCUUCUCUGAUGUUAGCGGCGGACGGGUGAGUAACAUGUGGAUAACCUACCUAUAAGACUGGGAUAACUUCGGGAAACCGGAGCUAAUACCGGAUAAUAUUUUGAACCGCAUGGUUCAAAAGUGAAAGACGGUCUUGCUGUCACUUAUAGAUGGAUCCGCGCUGCAUUAGCUAGUUGGUAAGGUAACGGCUUACCAAGGCAACGAUGCAUAGCCGACCUGAGAGGGUGAUCGGCCACACUGGAACUGAGACACGGUCCAGACUCCUACGGGAGGCAGCAGUAGGGAAUCUUCCGCAAUGGGCGAAAGCCUGACGGAGCAACGCCGCGUGAGUGAUGAAGGUCUUCGGAUAGUAAAACUCUGUUAUUAGGGAAGAACAUAUGUGUAAGUAACUGUGCACAUCUUGACGGUACCUAAUCAGAAAGCCACGGCUAACUACGUG
rnacentral:rRNA from 1 species